GACGAACGCUGGCGGCGUGCCUAAUACAUGCAAGUCGUGCGGACCUUGUUGAAAGCUUGCUUUUAAAAGGUUAGCGGCGGACGGGUGAGUAACACGUGGGCAACCUGCCUGUAAGACUGGGAUAACGCCGGGAAACCGGGGCUAAUACCAGAUCGUUUUUUCCUCCGCAUGGAGGAAAAAGGAAAGGCGGCUUCGGCUGCCACUUACAGAUGGGCCCGCGGCGCAUUAGCUAGUUGGCGGGGUAAUGGCCCACCAAGGCAACGAUGCGUAGCCGACCUGAGAGGGUGAUCGGCCACAUUGGGACUGAGACACGGCCCAAACUCCUACGGGAGGCAGCAGUAGGGAAUCUUCCGCAAUGGACGAAAGUCUGACGGAGCAACGCCGCGUGAGUGAAGAAGGCCUUCGGGUCGUAAAACUCUGUUGCCGGGGAAGAAAAAGUGCCGUUCGAACAGGGCGGCGCCUUGACGGUACCCGGACAGAAAGCCACGGCUAACUACGUG
rnacentral:rRNA from 1 species